GUCUUUUUGAUAAUUAUUUAAGGUUUAGCCUGCUCCAUGAAUUAAUUAAAUAGCCGCAGUAUUUUGACUGUGCAAAGGUAGCAUAAUCAUUAGUUUUUUAAUUGAAAGCUGGAAUGAAUGGUUGGAUGAGAAAGAAGCUGUCUCAUUUUAAUUUAAAUUGAAUUUUAUUUUUAAGUUAAAAAGCUUAAAUUUAGUAAAAAGACGAGAAGACCCUAUAGAGUUUAAUAAAUAAUGAUUCUAUUAUUUGAAGAUUAUAAUGUAAUUGUUUUAUUGUUUGUUUUGUUGGGGUGACACGAGAAUUAAAGAAACUUCUUGUAAUUUGAACACUGAUAAGUGUAUUGAUGAUCCUGUAUUAUAGAUCAAAAGAGAAAAUUACCUUAGGGAUAACAGCGUAAUUCUUUUGGAGAGUUCUUAUCGAUAAAAGGGAUUGCGACCUCGAUGUUGGAUUAAAGUUAAGUUUUGGCGCAGAAGCUGAAAUUUUGAGUCUGUUCGACUCUUAAAUCUUUACAUGAUCUGAGUUUAAACCGGCGUGAGCCAGGUUGGUUUCUAUCUUUUAUAAAUAAAAUGUUUUAGUACGAAAGGACCAAAUAUUUAAAUUAUAUUUUUUAUUAGAAUAGAAUUGUUAUUUUGGCAGACUAGUGCAAUAGAUUUAGAAUCUUUAAAUGUAAUUUAAUUACAAAUAACAAUUUAUUAUAUUGAUUUGGUUUUAUUGAUUAUUUCUAUAUUGAUUUUUAUUGUAUGUAUUUUAGUUGGAGUUGCAUUUUUGACUUUGUUAGAACGAAAAAUUUU
rnacentral:rRNA from 1 species